AAGAUCACACUUCAUAGGAUCAUUUCUAUAGUAUGAUUAGCGUGUUCACUCACCGAACUUCGCAAAAUACCCAGCCACGAUGAUGUGAGAAGGCGUUUUUUCCUGAGCGUGAAGCGAACUCUGAUUGAAGCUUAGGCUUUCAUCGAGUCAUUGAUGAUCGCAACUUUUGCCACUGCGGCGGGGG
rnacentral:snoRNA from 1 species